CUAAAAAUAUUAUUUGCCUAUUUCACGAUUCUGCGCAGUAUCAACUACACUAGUUGCUAUGGUAUGAAUGUUUUUGUUCCCCCAAAAUUUAUAUGUUGAAAUCCUAACACCCAAGGUGUUGGUAUUAGGAGCUGGGGCCCUUAGAGGAUGAUUAGGUCAUAAAGAAGAACACUCACCAAUGUGAUUAGCUCCCUUAUAAAAGAGGGAUGAAAGAAACCCCUCGCUCCCUUCCACCAUGUGAGAAAACAGCAUGUCGCCGCCGUCUAUGAACCAGAAAGUGAGCCCUCACCAAUCACUGAAUCUGCUAAGAAGGCCUACAAGCAACAAUAUCCCAGAAGGAAGAGGCACACUCACUGCCCAGAUCUUGAUUUCUAAUACCAUUCUACAAUAAAAUCAAACAGAGCUCCCUGGAUAAAUGUCCAAUUUUGGCGUGGAGGAAGGAAACAUAAAAGAUGAUCUCAGAACACCUUGUAGUGCCAGAAAAUAAGGAAGUACUCAAAAACAAAGAAACCAAAAAUCACACACACAAAGACGGGGGGAUGUCAAAGAGACACAGAAGAGAAGCCACCAAAAGAGUUCUCUAUGGCCAAACCUGAAAUAAACUGAACGAGAAAAUAAAGUAGUAAGAUAUUUAAA